GAGUUUGAUCGUGGCUCAGGACGAACGCUGGCGGCGUGCCUAAUACAUGCAAGUCGAGCGAGGGUUUUUAAGACCCUAGCGGCGGACGGGUGAGUAACACGUAGGCAACCUGCCUCUCAGACCGGGAUAACAUAGGGAAACUUAUGCUAAUACCGGAUAGGUUUUUGGAUUGCAUGAUCCGAAAAGAAAGAUGGCUUUUCGCUAUCACUGGGAGAUUGGGCCUGCGGCGCAUUAGCUAGUUGGU
rnacentral:rRNA from 1 species